CAUUAAGACCCUAAAAGAAAUCAUAUCCAAUAAUAAUGUGCUAGUUACACAAUGAAUGCGGCCAAAGUAAACAGUCCCUCAGAGAGCGGCUCGGAAGAAAGGGGCGGGGUCAGCAGAGCUCAUUAACAUUUAAAGGAAAAUGCUACAAAACGGCUUGCUCUGAAAAGAGCUGUUUUUGACAGGGUAAAAAAGGUGUUUUUAACAUUACCAUUGAGAAAUUUUGACCAAAGUAUGUUAAAGACUUUUCAUUAAGACCCUAAAGAAUCAUAUCAACUUGUGGAAAAUGGGCAUCCUAUGACCCUUUUAAUAAGUUGGGACACUAAAAAUAGAGUUGAAAUGCAGAACUGUUCCUGGAAAAACGGGGCAUCUGGUCACCCUAGUCCUAAAGAGCCUCUGUCCUGCAGAGUUUAAUAGCUCAAACCUUAAAAAAUAAGCUCACAUGCCUAUAGCCUUAGUAAUCCUGAAGACAUUGAUGAGCUGGUUCAGGUGUGUUUGAUUAAGGUAGGAGCUAAACUCUGCAGAACGGCGGCUCUCUUGGACCGAACUUGCCUACCCCGGACUACUACAUAGGAAGAAAGAAUGUGAUGGACCAAGAAUUCCGGAAUGGCUGAGACACAACACGAGAGAUGCAACCUUGACUGUGAUAAAGCACAGAGCUGCCAUCAAUAUACGGUUACUUCCACAGAAUCAAACUUUGAUCAAGAUGGUUCCAGACACAAGAAGCAGAGAGGAAAAUACAGCUGAAAUAUUACAAAGAGGAGCAAAUGUUGCCUGUAAAAAAUGAGUGUGGGGAUGAUGAUGAAUCAUAAUUGUACAUUUCAAUUUAACAUCUUCAUCUACUUUGCUUUUAUUUGGCUUCAUUAUUCCUUUGCUUGUUGGUUGUAACAAAAGAGUGUAACCAGAGGCAUUGUAAAGCAGAGACCGACCAAUGGUGUGACAUGAAUAGGAGAAAUCAUAACUCCUAAUAAAGUGGCUGUAUCAAGAAUGUCCUGCACGUUUCAUUAUAUUUUAGAUUGCUGAUUUUGCAUACUGUAUAUUAUUGACACAAAAUCCUGACUAACAGUUUUGAGGUUUUGGUCUAUCCCCAUUAUGUUUUGUUUUGUAUGCCUAUGCAUAGUGAACUGACUUGCCUUAAAUGGACUUAUGUCUAAACUAAAAAAGAAAGUAUAAGUAGUACACAACCCUCAAAAUUCCUGAAAAAAAAUGGCUUUGCCCACAUCUAAGUCAGUCUGGCUGUUUUGAUGUGUUUUAAUAAUAGCCUAGACAGUUAAAGUUAUGUAUUCAAUACUGUAUCCAAACAAAGAAACUACACUAACAAACAUAUUCACACUCUCACACAUACAUACUGUUAGAAACAGAGAAUUAAGCUGUUGAAAGGAGUCAGGAGUCAAACCAUCAUCGCUGUUUUACAACGGGGUCUACAGCUUAUUCUAAACCAAUGUUUCGUUAAGUUAAAUGUAUGAUACUUGCAUUGCCUUGGCUGUUGAACGAGCGUCUGGAUACAGUCUCAGAUGAAAGUCUUGAUGUUUUCGGUGCUGUUGGAAUUGCAAUCGCAUCUUGAAGAGUGAUGAACUCUAAAGAUGUUAUUCUGACUCAGUGGUGGUCGGGAGAUUUCUAUUUCGGGUGAAAGUUUGCAACAUGGCUUGCUGUGACUUUGAGGUCCUGCCGGUGCGGGGGAAGCCCUGCGGGUCACGGUUG
rnacentral:lncRNA from 1 species